CAUCUUAGUGUCAGGACAUUCAGAAGGUAGAAAAGCAAGGGAACAACGGCAGAAGUGACAAAGCCAAAGAAAUGUAGUGAGCAGAAGAUGAAGCCACACACAUGCUGGUGAUGGGACGCAAGCCCUGGAUAACACUGUUCAUAGAAGUUUAUUGCACUGACAGCUUUGGCAACAGCAUCAAAGACAAGCAUGGGCAGAUGAAGAAUAGAAGUUCCAUGGCAUGUGUUGGAUAUCACAUUUCAGUUCAAGUGGAAAUCCUGCAAACGUCUCUAGAUGGCGCAGAUCCAGCGCGGCGCAGUCCACCCCAUCGGGACUGUAUUAGAUCUCUAAUUGAUGCCUCUCCCCUCGUCGCUGACAGUUACGCACAAACCAGGAUCAGGUCACGGAAUUUAGCGCGACCUGAAGAGGUGGCGUAGACCGCCUUCAGAGCCUACAGUGGAUUAAAAACAUAAUGAGGUGAGUCGAGGUUCAGCUGCUUUGAUUGUAUAGUAACUUUUUAAACUUAAGGAUUGUCGGAUAACCGGAGCGGAAAGGCGAAUCACUUGUUUUUAUGACGAUUUUAAAGUAAUGAGUGAGCUAUUUUUACACUACUUCUAUUUAACAGACGUCAUGGCUAAUUUACAUGUGAAAUUAAACAUGUUCAAAUUUGGAUCAAUCCACAAUCUGCCUUAAAGCUGGCAGGUUACAUUUUAUUCACAGUAAAAAAAAAAAAAAAAAACCCGAAAAAUAUGUUUUGUUAUGUUAAAGAUUUACACGUGUUUUAAAACAUCAAAGCAGCCCCGAAAAAUAGGGCCUGGAACAGAUAUUUGUUGGCUUUACUUUCAGGAUUAUGAUAAUAACGAUAACUCUGUCACAAAUCUUAAAUACUUAAAAUGAAUGAAUUAUUAAUUUUGUGAUGGAAUUUACAUAAUAGGUUUGGAAAUUUUCCGUGAGCAGACAUUAUAGAGGUUUACAGAUUCAUGAAUAUUACAUCUCUCCUUCAGUUCAAGUAUGUGACAUUGCUGCUUUCAGCAAGUUUAUUUAGUCUGCUAUUCAUCCUCAAAGUGCCCUCACUUGUUCUGCAGAGCAUGGCUGAGAAAGUAAAACACACCAGGGCCAUAGGAAGAAGAAGACGAGAAGAAAAAGAAGAAAUCUCACAACAAAUUCUUUUUUUUUUUAACCAGUUUUGCUUUGUUUUAUUUUAUUAUUUGCUAUUUGCUAUAUAAAAACACUAUUAGUCAACAUGUAUGAAUUUAUAAAAGCUUGGACUGAAACAAGUUUGAGGAUGAAAUAUAUAAACAUUACGAGCUGAAUCAUUUUUGGAUGAUCUUUCUUACUGUGCUGCACUUUGACUAAACCGUCCUGUAAGUAUAUUGUUAUGUUUGUGUCAAACAGGAAUGUUAUAUGAAUUAUUUCUUCAGUUCCCCAGAAGUCACCUUUCUCUGUGGUCAAUAAAGGUGUUGACAUCGUCA